GGAGGGAAUGGGAUGGUGUCAAAGGUCAAAACAGGAAGAAUGAAGGGAAUUCUCACGAAAUGGAAACUUCGUGUGAAGGAGAUCAAGGGAUGUGUUCUGAUGCUGCAACUGCCAACCAGGAAACAUCUGGAUACAAUUCCUAAAUGGAUUGGAAUUUUAAAA